AUGUGCUUGCUGCGCAAGGUAGCUGAGUGACAGCCACCUUAAGUGACAUGUUUCUGCUAUCCUCACAGGUGUCUAUUAUGCAGUCGACCUGCUUAAGUGACUUUCGAGGGAGACAGGUGCAGGGGGCGUGUAAAGAAACAGGCUCCGGGGAUGGGUGUAGCCAGAGGCUCCUGGGUGAUGUCGCCAGACAGCAAGGGGCACAGCUGACGCAGAAGCAGAGGCGUGCAGGUGACCACCCAAUGGGCACGUCUAUGCAGAUGUGUUUAUGUGAUCCCAGCACUGGGGACACGUUCUGGAAUCAUUCUGCUUGAUGACAUGCUCAAGGAACGGGAACAUAAGCAGUAUGUUGUGUGGGCGACAUCUCACAGGUGGUGUGGAAGACAGCCCGGUGGAUGUGCGGCUUGGUGCCUUUAAGAAAAGACAGCUGCUAUCUGGGUCUAUUCCUAUGGCUGGGCCUGGUGGCCCUUGCUGGGCUCCAGGUUUCAUGCCCGGCCUGGCUGGGCUAUUAACCCACAUUGCUCACCCCGAGCAUGCUUGAUAGCUCUUGUUCCACGGUCCUAGGCAGUGAGUGGCCAGGUCUUGGGUGUCCACCUCUUCACACUCUCACAUUCUCACCUGAAGCCAAGCUCAGGAUUUAAGUGGGGUUUCUGUACCUUUUAAUAUCCCUUCCAUGAAGAAUCCAAACCAGGUCCUCGCCAGCCUAAACCCCUUGAAAAGCUGCCUCAGCUUUUGGGAGAAAAACACAAAAUGACCAGGAUUUGUUCACAGAGCGUCCUUGGCCCCCUCAUCUCCACCCCCUUCCUUUCCUCUAGUCAAGGCCGCUCUGUUCUGGCUCUUUCUUCCUGCAGACACCUUGUUUCUGCUUUGUAAGAUAACAUUUUUACUUUGGAUAAUCUUACAUCACGGGAAAGUCGCCAAGAUAAGAGCGUCCUGUGCACCCCUCGCUGCCUUUCUCCUAUCUCGGCUUUCAUCUGGAUCUGGAUGGACGCCGCAGCCUUGUCCCCUGCUCCGUCUGGCUCUCAUCUCCGAUCCAAAGCUGCCAGGUCACCGCUCUGAUCCAGGCCUAACCGCCUCCUCUCCUUCAUCGAACCCUGAGAUCUUGCUUCCACUCUUGUCCUCAGAAAGUGGAUUAAGUGGCCCAGAGCCCACCCCGCCCCCAGCACUGACUGGCAUUGAUCUGCAAGCCGGAUAGAAGGCCUUCACAGGCAACAGGGGGCCGUGGGGGUGGGGAGGAGGCCGCUCUCAUCAGCAAUGGCCUUAGAUCAGAUCGAUAAACUAUUAAUAACUGCAGCGUUUGCGCACAGAUAGGGGCAAUGCGGUUUAGUGGCUGGAGUUUACCAACACUGACGGCGUCUCUGAAGGGCGAGUAAUUGUGUUUUUGAAAAGCUGGGAACAGGAGCAGCAGAAACGUUGCCUUUGCCUGUUGGCCUGAGCCUCAUCCAGGUCCACAGUGGAGACUUCGUGACGAGCAUCCCGCUCCCCCUCCCCCACCCCCCGGUUCACUGAAGCUCACUGUAGGGCUGUGACCUCCUGUUCCACAGAUGAGAAAACUGAGGCACACAGACAAGAUGUAGCAUGACCCUCAUCAUGAUGUGAGCAGCUUUCAGGGCGUCCGGGGCAUCACCUGUCAGCCCCUCUGCUCAUCGUUCCUGUUCUGGCUUUGAUUUGCCCUGGGGAAGAGAGCCUCAGCUUCUUCCGGAAACUGGGCAGUGGAUUUAGGAACCUGACCAGGGAAAGGAUGCAGGGUUCGACCCUGUGGCCUUGCUGGGGAACGGGGAAAGCCAGCGGUGGAUCUUUAAAGAGACCCCAUGAAGGAAUGCACAAACACCCAGAGAACUGAGCCUGGCAAGCUCUCAGCGCUUGCCCUACUUUCUCCUAUGCCAUUAAUUGAUUAAAAUUUUAAGACAA